AGAAAGCCACGGCUAACUACGUGCCAGCAGCCGCGGUAAUACGUAGGUGGCAAGCGUUGUCCGGAAUCAUUGGGCGUAAAGCGCGCGCAGGCGGUCCCUUAAGUCUGAUGUGAAAGCCCACGGCUCAACCGUGGAGGGUCAUUGGAAACUGGGGGACUUGAGUGCAGAAGAGGAAAGCGGAAUUCCAAGUGUAGCGGUGAAAUGCGUAGAGAUUUGGAGGAACACCAGUGGCGAAGGCGGCUUUCUGGUCUGUAACUGACGCUGAGGCGCGAAAGCGUGGGGAGCAAACAGGAUUAGAUACCCAAGUAGUCCAGAAACUU
rnacentral:rRNA from 1 species